UAUACUCUUCACAUAUCAUGUUUAGUAUAGUUAUAAAUGAAUCAACUUAUAUCAUUCCUUUUUUUUUUUAAUCUUAUCGAGUGCUUAAGUUAAUUUUGUCUCUUACUAUUUUUAUUCUUUUCCAUAUUACAGACUUAACACUAAUUAGAUGUUCAACAUGGUGAUGCUUUGCAUUUGGUUUGCACUGUGCCGAGCAUGGUACAGGUGCUCGAGAUCAUCAACAGGCGUUUCAUUGAAGAUUUUUUCCUUCUUGAUUGUAGUGAGACCUCCUUGCUUCUGGAGGGAUCACAUUUAUUUCAGUUAUUAAUAAUGAGUUGUUUCUUUGAGGUAGUCAUGGGCUUAUAUCGGCACCUUCUUGAUAUUUGAUAGAGGCUUAAUAGACUUAGAUUGCAUAUAUUGGAGUUGGUGUAUCAUUUGAGUCUGCUUUUUAGAAACUAUUACUUAUGAAUUUGAAUUGACUGUGAGAUUUCUCAUUUAAACUAUUAUUUCGUGAGUAUUGA